rnacentral:rRNA from 1 species
GAUGAACGCUAGCGGCAGGCUUAAUACAUGCAAGUCGAGGGGCAGCAUGAUUGUAGCAAUACAAUUGAUGGCGACCGGCAAACGGGUGCGGAACACGUACACAACCUCCCAAUAAGUGGGGAAUAGCCCAGAGAAAUUUGGAUUAAUACCCCGUAACAUAACGAUGUGGCAUCACAUUGUUAUUAUAGAUUUUUCGCUUAUUGAUGGGUGUGCGGCGGAUUAGAUAGUUGGCGGGGUAACGGCCCACCAAGUCUACGAUCAGUAGCUGAUGUGAGAGCAUGAUCAGCCACACGGGCACUGUGACACGGGCCCGACUCCUACGGGAGGCAGCAGUAAGGAAUAUUGGACAAUGGACGCAAGUCUGAUCCAGCCAUGCCGCGUGAAGGAUUAAGGUCCUCUGGAUUGUAAACUUCUUUUAUAAGGGACGAAAAAAGGCUUUUCUAAGUCGUCUGACGGUACCUUAUGAAUAAGCACCGGCUAACUCCGUGCCAGCCGCCGCCGUAAGAC